UACGUAGGCAGCGAGCGUUGUUCGGAGUUACUGGGCGUAAAGCGUGCGUAGGCGGUUUUGUAAGUUUGGUGUGAAAUCUCCCGGCUUAACUGGGAGGGUGCGCCGAAAACUGCAAGGCUGGAGUGUGGGAGAGGUAGGCGGAAUUCCUGGUGUAGCGGUGAAAUGCGCAGAUAUCAGGAGGAACACCAAUUGCGAAGGCAGCUCGCUGGGACGUUACUGACGCUGAGACGCGAAAGCGUGGGGAGCAAACAGG
rnacentral:rRNA from 1 species